CUCCUCCCAUAUUCCUACUAUUUGAAUCCCAACAUUUUAGAAAACAACAUACAAAACUUAUUUAAAUUAUGAACUAUUUUGAGUCUGCUAUCUAAUUUUUCAGAAGUUUGAUUUUACUAUCAAACUGUUCAAUUUGUUUGAUUUGAGUAAGUCAACAAGACUUUUGACUUUAAAAUUUUAAUAAAACAGGUAAUUAGCUUUUGAAGUCAAAUUAAGUGUCGUUGACGGACUCGAAUAAAAUAAAUUUAAAAAGUUAGAUAGUGAAAUCAAAAUUUCAAAAAAUUAAAUAGCUGACUGAAAAUGAUUCAUAAUUCAGAUAAGUUCUGCACGUUUCUACCAACAUCUUAUCAGACAGUAAUGCUAUAAAUAGAUACAAUUCACUA
rnacentral:lncRNA from 1 species